rnacentral:misc_RNA from 1 species
AAGUCGUAACAAGGUUUCCGUAGGUGAACCUGCGGAAGGAUCAUUAAAGAAACUUCGCCUCCGGGCGGAGUCCUUCUAAACCGUGUCUACCUUACCUUUGUUGCUUUGGCGGGCCGCCUUCGGGCGUCGGCUCCGGCUGACAGCGCCCGCCAGAGGACCCAACUCUUUUGUUUAGUGAUGUCUGAGUACUAUAUAAUAGUUAAAA